rnacentral:tRNA from 1 species
GAGGGUAACAACUUAGUGGUAGAGUGCAUGUUUAGCAUGCACGAGGUCCUGGGUUCAAUCCCCAGUACCUCCA